GAUGAACGCUGGCGGCGUGCCUAAUACAUGCAAGUCGAGCGAAUGGAUUAAGAGCUUGCUCUUAUGAAGUUAGCGGCGGACGGGUGAGUAACACGUGGGUAACCUGCCCAUAAGACUGGGAUAACUCCGGGAAACCGGGGCUAAUACCGGAUAACAUUUUGAACCGCAUGGUUCGAAAUUGAAAGGCGGCUUCGGCUGUCACUUAUGGAUGGACCCGCGUCGCGUUAGCUAGUUGGUGAGGUAACGGCUCACCAAGGCAACGAUGCGUAGCCGGCCUGAGAGGGUGAUCGGCCACACUGGGACUGAGACCCGGCCCAGACUCCUACGGGAGGCAGCAGUAGGGAAUCUUCCGCAAUGGACGAAUGUCUGACGGAGCAACGCCGCGUGAGUGAUGAAGGCUUUCGGGUCGUAAAACUCUGUUGUUAGGGAAGAACAAGUGCUAGUUGAAUAAGCUGGCACCUUGACGGUACCUAACCAGAAAGCCACGGCUAACUACGUGCCAGCCGCCGCGGUAA
rnacentral:rRNA from 1 species